UAGGGAAUCUUCCACAAUGGACGCAAGUCUGAUGGAGCAACGCCGCGUGAGUGAAGAAGGUUUUCGGAUCGUAAAGCUCUGUUGUUGGUGAAGAAGGACAAGGGUAGUAACUGAUUCUUGUUUGACGGUAAUCAACCAGAAAGUCACGGCUAACUACGUGCCAGCAGCCGCGGUAAUACGUAGGUGGCAAGCGUUGUCCGGAUUUAUUGGGCGUAAAGCGAACGCAGGCGGGAGAAUAAGUCAGCUGUGAAAGCCCCCAGCUUAACUGGGGAAGUGCAACUGAAACUAUUUUUCUUGAGUGCAGAAGAGGAGAGUGGAACUCCAUGUGUAGCGGUGGAAUGCGUAGAUAUAUGGAAGAACACCAGUGGCGAAGGCGGCUCUCUGGUCUGUAACUGACGCUGAGGUUCGAAAGCAUGGGUAGCGAACAGG
rnacentral:rRNA from 1 species